AUGAGCUAUAGCUUUUAUUUGUGGCCUCGUGUUAUCAAGGAGGUUCUCUAUUAUCUGGCAAAGAAUACUAUCACUAUUCUACUUAAAAGAGAAAACAAACGGAUAUACCUGUUGCUUGUUGGUGUUGCUUGUUGCUUGUUCUUCCCAAUUGUAUAUUUGUUGUGCCUUGUUGUGGGCGUAGUUGCCUGGGUGAUCUACACUUUUGGGGCUGUCAUCUGUGCCGGGAUCUCCUUGUGGCGCGUAAUACAGCAUGAUUAUGGCAACAUGGACGGGGACAACAGCAAAGCAAACCUGAUGCCAGCAUUGGACUUCUUCUAUUCUCUAAUUCUCUGCCAAGGUGCACUCUACAUUUUAUGGCAGACAUCUAACAUUGUGUUCCGAAAGAUGUGGGGUGAAACAUUAGUUAAAGAGUACCUGGUUGACAUCCAGUCAAAAUGCUGGCGGGACCCUAAAUCCAUCAAGGGUAGGAGAUUGGUCAAUUAUGCGGUCGACUUGCUGGACUCUGAAUCAUCACAAGACUACCUCUCUGGAGCAGAGAUGCUGGAUGUGCUCAUCAAGCGUGGAGUGGAUGUAAGGCCACUUAUACUCCCCUCCAGCCAAAAGGUUCAGAAGCUGAUCGAUACACUGAGGAAGAGUAGUAGCGACAGGGAGAUUAAGGAGCUCGCUGCCAGGAUAUUGGCGCAUCUUGCAUGUGACAGGGAUUUAACCCAGUUCCCUGGGGUAAUACCGUGCAUAUCCUCCCUACUCCUUGGUACCACCACCCAACUGCCAUAUUGGAACAACCAACAGGGAUCCAGCAAUCAGUCUCCUCAAAGUGAUGUGUUUUAUCAGCUAUUCGCAGAAAUAAAAGAAAGUAAAUUGGGUUUGCUAUUGUUAAAGAUAAUAGAAAAAGGAAAAUUGGAUCAGCAAGGUGCAAGGGGCAGCCAAGGAGAUCGCGAUACCACCCUGCCAUAUUGUAACAACCAACAUCAGUCACCUCAAAGUAGAUUGGAUCAGCAAGGUGCAGCGGACAGCGAAGGAGAAGGAGAUGGCUGGAAUGAGUUGAUUCUGCAAGGCCUAACGAUUCUGGAGAGGCUGGCGUCUGACCAACACAACUGCAGGGACAUAUGCAGCACCCCUGAUCUAAUGGCCAAGAUCAUGUCACCUAUCUACUCUGACACACUGAUCCAAGACAUCAACAUAAUGCCAUGGCAAGAUGUAGUAAAUGGAGCGCUCAGAGUUGUGUACCGGCUCAUCCGUGCUCCCGAGUGGACUGGUGGCAGAAGGCUGGCCCAUGAAAUAUCCUGUAGCAAACAAGCUGUGAGCAACUUGGAGAUGAUUCUGAAUCAGGGCAACAUAGCUUGCCAACAACUGCAGAUGCGAGCUAUGGAGAUACUCACAGAAUUGACUUUGGAUUCGCCUGCUAAACUCGCCCUGGGAACAAAAGAAAAUAUGAUCAACAAGCAGUUGCAGAUCUUCCUUGAUGAAGGGAAAGAAGAAGACCUUAGGGUUACGGCUGGGAAAAAUUCGGCUGAUAACCUCGCCAUAGAAACAAAAGAAAAGCUGAUCGGCAAGCAGCUGCAGAUCUUCCUUGAUGAAGGAAAAGAAGAAAAGUUUAGGGUUACGGCUGGGAAAACACUAGCAUCACUAUCCAAGACAGGAACAACUAUCUCUGCGUGCAUAAUGAGUGAAUACAAUCCCAUUGUUGAGCAAAUGACUGAAAUCCUUGAUGCUAAGAACAAGGUCAUAUACAGAACAAUAGCUGCUGAGAUCUUGGAGAAUUUGUGUACUCUACAUACGAUGGACAAGAAUCAUGUGAGGAACAACUUGCUGCAGAAGGUGUUGACAGAAGUUUUAAGCAGUAAAAAGAAAUCCCCAUCAGAAGCACCUGAAAGGCAGGUAUCUGAAGCGCCAUUAGAUGUGCAAGAAAAUCAACUGCAUGACGACGAAGAGAAUCAACGUCUGGAGCAUAAUGUCCAAAUCAAAUCAUCCGAUCAAAAUGAGACGUAUAAAGCUAGGAUGGAAUUGAAGGAAGCAUUGUUAUCCCUUACUUCGGUGAUAUUUGACAAGUUGAUAAUCAAUGCAGAGGAUUUUGAUGAUGUCGCUCGAAAGGUUGCCCCGGGAGAAGGUGAAUUUGUGGCGAAGCUCAAAACUAUAGUAGAAGAGAACUGCGAGGCCACGGCUAAUAGCCUACGAAUUGUCAAGCUUUGCGGUCAGAUUGCUGUCACAAUGAUGAAGCGCAGCCAGUACAUCGCACACUUCAAGGAUCAGAAAUUUGUGGAGUCACUGUCCGAGGUUUCAAGAAAGACGUGUAACCUUGAAAGUUGCAUGCUCUUCGCUGGGACAGAUGGUGGUGCGAAGAAGACUGCCAGGCCCCUCCUCUUUGAUCUUGUGAAAGAGGCAGAAGUGUUGGUUGCUUAA
rnacentral:rRNA from 1 species